rnacentral:tRNA from 1 species
GAUACUGACAGAAGGUUCUGUACUUUGACUGCAAAUCAAAGGAUUAAGGGUUCAAUUCCCUUCUUUAUCU